rnacentral:misc_RNA from 1 species
GAUGAAGAACGCAGCGAAAUGCGAUAAGUAGUGUGAAUUGCAGAAUUCAGUGAAUCAUCGAGUCUUUGAACGCACAUUGCGCCCCCUGGUAUUCCGGGGGGCAUGCCUGUCCGAGCGUCAUUGCUGCCCUCAAGCACGGCUUGUGUGUUGGGCCCCGUCCUCCGAUCCCGGGGGACGGGCCCGAAAGGCAGCGGCGGCACCGCGUCCGGUCCUCGAGCGUAUGGGGCUUUGUCACCCGCUCUGUAGGCCCGGCCGGCGCUUGCCGAUCAACCCAAAUUUUUAUCCAGGUUGACCUCGGAUCAGGUAGGGAUACCCGCUGAACUUAAGCAUAUCAAUAACGGAGGA